UUUUGUCUAAGGUGUCAGAUCCAUUGUUUAGCAUUCUUACAUACUUGUUCAUCUCAUCCAAUUUAGAAUUCAAGAAUACAACUUCAGUCUUCAACUUGGAGAUGGUUUCCACAUGUUCUGCCUUCUCAUUCUCCAACUGUGCUAUCACUUUCUUCUGGCUUUCAACUUGUCUACACACUUCUGCACUUCUGUGACAUAACUCUCUGUAGGUAGUGGCCAAC
rnacentral:lncRNA from 1 species